UUUUUUUUUUUUUUUUUUUUGUCUUUUUGCCUUUUCUAGGGCUGCUUCCUCCUGGGAACUUUCAUAUGCUACAGGUGUAGCUCUAAAAAAAAAGACACACACAAAAAGAGAUUGUUACAUGUAGGAGUUCUCUUGUGGCCCAGCAGGUUAAGGAUCUGGUGUUGUCACUCCUGUGGCUUGGGUCACUGCUGUGGCCCAGGUUUGACCCCUUGCCUGGGAACUUGUGCAUACCGAGGGUGUGGCCAAAAAAGAGAAAAAAAAAAAAGAUUGCUACAUAUAAUAUUUGUUUUUUAUUUAAUAUAUGAUGACACUGAAUUUUGGCGUAGUAAAGGAUAACUAUGACUUAAUAAAUAUCCAGCAUGCUUGACUAAUGAGUUUAAUUUUUUACUUCUGAUGUGUUUUCGUUUAUUAGUUUUUUCCAGAACAACUCUUCUUUGGAAUUUGAAUUUGAGAACUGGGUACAUGCCUUCAGGUAUUUGUAGUAGGGAAUUAGCUGAAGUAUUUAGCUUCAUAUAAAGGGAGAGUCGUAGGAGAAUUGUCGUGAAAUUGAGAGAGGAGAAAAUAUAGGCUGCUGUUAAAUGUGUGUAUAAUAACACCUACAGUCUUGUUUUGUACUCUUCCUGCAAGAAAUUAAAAGUAUUUUGCAAGCAGUUUUUCCUACUGCUUCUUGGAAUUAGAUUUUUCUCUGUAGAAUUAACUGAGGCAAAUUUCACGUUUCUUGAUUUCAUCAUUUGUUUAGUUCUGCUUCCUAGGAUAGAACAUAUAUUCUCCUAUGAACCAGAAUUACUUUGUUUCAGUAUGUAUGCCUAUGAUAUAAUGAAACAUCUGAACUUCUGCUGUGUUGAAGAGAAUUAAUAGGCAUGUUUGAUUUGGGGAGAGAAUUGGAGUAUUUCAAUUCUAGCAGACCUGCGAAAACAGGGCAGAAAAAUAUGCCUUGCCAAACUCUUGAAUCAUAGCAUAGUGGUCCAGGCUCUGGAGCCAGGCAGUCUGGGUCCAAAUUGUAGUGCCAGUAUUUACUAUCUCUGCGACUUGGGCAAAUUACUUAACCUCUCUGUGCCUCUCCUCAGCUGUAGAAUAUCGUGCAGCUGUUGCAAGAAUUAAAUGAGUCAACAUACGUAAAGCAUUUAGAACAGCAUGUAGCAUUAUAUAUACCAGCUGUUACCAUUUUCAAUAUUAUUGUAACAAGCUAAAGAUUAUAUGUUCUUCAAAAGCAGAACAAAUGACAGUGAUGCCUAGAUUUAAGUUUAGGGUCUUUUGAGAAAGCUUGAAUAGGGACUAGGAAGUUAAAGCAGCAUAUUUGCCCCUCUUUCUCCUCGGUAUCCUUCAAAUUAAAAUAAGAGGAUGAGCCUUUACUGGGAAAGAGAAAACCUCAAAAGCAACAGUGUCUAAAAGAGUUUCAGAUAUAAGAUCGAUGGCAAAAUUUUGAGGAUUUUUGUAGUAUGUAUCCAAAAUAGUCCAGAGCUAUUUUAGGAACAGAAGAACGUUUCUUUGCCAAACAGGUAGAAAAUGUUAGUAUCUAAAUUUUACCGUCUAUUUAAACUGUGAUUUGUCAUCUAAUUGAACAGUGAUUGGCGCUUGAAGGAUUUUAAAGAAAGUGAUUAAAGUGGAAAGGGUUUUUAUUUUUUGUAUGUGUGUCUUUUUAGGGCUGUACCCUUGACAUACGGAGUUUCCCAGGCUAGGGGUCAAAUCAGAGUUAUAUCUGCCAGAGCUGUAGCUGCCGGCCUACACCACAGCCGCAGCAAUGCCAGACCCAAACUGCAUCUGAAAACCUACACCACAACUCGCGGCAACCCAGAUCCUUAACCCACUGAGCAAGGCCAGGGAUUGAACCCAUGUUCAGUGAUACUAGUCAGGUUCAUUACCUAUGAUCCACGAUAGGAACUUCCAGAAAAAGGUGAUAUUUAAGGAAAAAUCAAAGCUACCAAAUCACCUUGGGUAAACUUCUGGGAGGUGGACAUAUUUUUUUGCUUAGUGGUAAAGACUGAGCAUCCAGUAGAGUUAGUUACUCUUAGCCGUUUAUGCUAUUAUAUAUAAAUUGUGGGUUUCCUCCGUCUUUGCUUUAACUACCUGUUUAUGUUUUCUUCUCCAAAUCUCUAUAAUAGUCCUGUUCUGUCAUUAAAAAAACAAACAAAAAAACUCCAAAAAAACUCACUUAUUUAAUGAUUAUAGUGGGGUCUUCCUUUUCAGUCAUUCAUUAGGUAUCUGUUGAAUGUCUGCCUCUGUGGUAGGUGAUCAGGAUACCAUAAUAAGUGCUGAUCAGAGCCAGUGCUUAUUGAAGUGCUUUGUGUUGCUUUUUCUUUUCAUUCUUAUAACAACCUUACGGUGUAGGUACUUUCGUUCGUUCCGUUUUAUAAAUGUGUAAGUGGUGGUACAGAGAGGAUAAGCAGUUUGCUCAAGGUCAUAGAACUGGUAAUUGGCAGAACCAGGAUUUGAAUCCAUGCAGCCUAGCUCCAUAACCCCCUGCCCCUAAUCCUUAAAUCAUACUGAUUCUAAACUACUUUAUUUAUUUAUUUUUUGCUUCUUAGGGCUGCACCUGCAGCGUAUGGAAGUUCCUAGGCUAGGGGUCAACUCAGAGCUGCAGCUGCUGGCCUAUGCCACAGCUGCAGCAAAGCAGGAUCCGAGCCCCGUCUUCAACCUACACCACAGCUGUCAGCAACACCAGAUUCUUAACCCACUGAGUGAGGCCAGGGAUUGAACCUGCAUCCUCAUGGAUCCUAGUCGGGUUCAUUACUGCUGAGCCACAAGGGGACUUCCUGAAAAAAAUAGUUUUAAACUCUCUAAACUGCUGCCACUAUUCUAAGACUAGAGUGAAAAACAACAACAACAAAAAAACAAACAUAGUAAACAAAAAAUUCACCAAUGUAUGAUUUCAAAGUAUGUAAAGCCUCAUGAUGGAAAAAUAAAAAAGAGAUUAUGGUAGGGGAAGGUGAAUUAUUGUGGAGCUUUGGGGAAGAUUUCUUUGAUAUUUAAGCAGAUCCUAGAAAAAUGAAAGGGAAAGGGAAGGGACUAGCAUGUGUGAAAGCCUUGGGAUGGGAAAGAAGUUGGCACAUUUGAGAAACUGAAAGAAGACUGAUGUGGCUUGAAAAUAGCAGUGGGAGAGGAUGAGGAGGGACAUAGGAUGAGGGUACUUUGGAGUGUGUCAAGGAUUUUGGAUUUUUUUCCUAGGUAUAAUCGAAAGCCUUUGAGAAUUUUAAGAAUGACUGUUGUGACCUAAUAUAUGAUUUAAAAAAAUUACUCUGGCUAUGUUGUGGAAAUUUUUGGAAAUUUUUCUUUUAGGGGAAUAAUUAGGAGUUAUGGAAAAUUUGGAAAGAGAAGUGGGGGAAGUCUAAUAAUUAGAAUGUCUUAUAGGGGUCCAGGCAAAAGAUGAUGAUGGUUGGGAUUAGGCUAUAGGAACAGGAGAUGAGAGAAGUAGAAAGAUUCAGUAAAUCUUUUAGAGUUAGGCCAGAAAGACUUAAUGAUGAAUUGGAUAUAUGGGAAGAGAGAGGUAUCAAGUAUGAUUCCUAGAUUUCUGGCAUGAGUAUUUGGGUAGAUGAAGUUGCCAUUUCUGAGAUGGAAGCAUUGGAGGAGGGGCAGAUUUUGACUAGAGUUGAGGAGCGGAAUGAAGGCCUCAGUUUUAGUCAGCUUUGCUGUCAUUAGCCUUUCUAUUUUCCCCUUCCUAUUGGGUUGUUUGUAUUUUGGUAUCAUUGGUUUUUAAAGUUCAUUCCUUACCUUUAUUUUUUCUUUCUUUCUUUUUCGUUCUGUCUUUAUUUUGGCUGCACCCAUGGCAUGUAGAAAUUCCUGGGCCAGGGAUCGAACCCGUGCCACAGCUGUAACCAGAGUUGCAACAGUGAUAAUGCCAAAUCCUUAACCCACUGAGCCAUGAGGGAACUCCAGCAUCUGCAGUUUCUAUAGUGUGUGAUGUGAGAGCUGGUUCAAAUUGGGAUUGAGAAUCUCUUUCCUGUAUGUUUAACUUUUUGAGGAAUUGGGUUUACCUAACAUACUGGUUUUAUUAUUUGCAUUUUACUGAUGGGAUAUUUGAGGUACACCAUCUGUAUAGUUUUAACUUCCUGUCAUCUUCAGAACAAGUCAGUGAUGGAAUUGGGAAUUUAAGACUUUUCAUCAUACUCUUUGUGUAGGUGACCCAUUUAAAGCCAUGUUGCAUUUAUAUGAAGCUGUUUGAAAUGGACUUCCUAUAUUUUAUAAUCUCUUGAAGAGAUAUUGUUCAGGUGGUGUUAAACAGAUGUUCUUUUUCCAGAGUGGACAAGAUGAGAGGGAACGUGUUUUAAUUGCAACAGAAGGGAUAUAGAUUACAAAUUAGAAAGAACUUCCUGACUACAAGAUACUACAAAGACUUUGUAACUAUCUUUCUAGGGUGAUUUAGGCAAGUGUUUGUUAAGAAAUGAGGGAGAUGACAAAGAUGACUUGCUGAGGUCCCUGGUAACUUUAGGAAAUAGUUGUUUGAUGGUUAAUCAAAUAGUAUCUUUGGCAUUUUAAUGAGUACAUUUUCAUUUUGCUUAUGAAGAAAUAAUCAUUGGAGAGUGGGGGAAUUUCUCAAGGUCCUCUGGGAAAAUAGAAGAUAACAUUUUGAAUCUUCUUGUUUCCCCAUGUUGAAUGCUUAGGGAUGUAUACUUUAUCAUAAAUGAGUCUUGUCAUGGCUGUGUUAUGUACUAUUGUUGUGAUUCUUCCUAAGCCAUAGGAAUCAAAGCCAACACCUGCAGCUUUUAUAGACCUGCAGCUUUUAUAUGAUUUGAGAGUUGUUGGCUGGGCUUAGAUUAGGACUGAGAACCUCUUUCCUAUAAAAAUGAAUUUGGUCUUCUGUUAUGCUUGUAGAAAAGGGAACACAUUAUCAGUAACAGACUUGAGUGAUAGAUUCCUUAUUUAUUUAUUUAUUUUUUGGCCAUACCUGAGCUAGGGAUCGAACCUGCACCAUAGCAGUGACCCUUGUCUGCAGUGACAACACCAGAUCCCUAACCAGCUGCACCACAGGAGAACUCCAAUAGAUUCUUUUUCCUUCUUUCUUUUUUGGCCCCUGGGCCGGCGAUCAGAUCCGAGCCAAAUCUGUCUUUUAACCCACUAUGCUGGGCCGGGGAUCAAACCUUCUUCGUCCUGGUGCUGCAGAGGUGCUGCCAAUCUUAUUGUGGCAGAGCAGGAAUUACUCCAAUAGAGUCUUUUUUUUUUUUGGUCUUUUAGGGCCACACCCAUGGCAUAUGGAGGUUCACAGGCUGGGGUCUAAUCGGAAUUCCAGCUGCCAGCCAGAGCCACAGCAACGCUGGAUCUGAGCCACAUCUGCCACCUACACCACAACUCAAGGCAAUGCUGGAUCCUUAACCCACUGAGUGAGGCCAAGGAUCGAACCUGCAACCUCAUGAUUACUAGUCAAAUUCGUUUCCAUUGCACCACCAUGGGAACUCCUCCUCCAACAGAGUCUUAAUGACUGAUUUAGGAGGGGCCAGGUUAAAAUUGCUUAGGUGAAGCUGCACAUGACAUCAACAUAUUUUUGGUUUGUAUGGCCUGCAGAAAUAGAAGCCCAGAAGAUGGGCAAAUGAACAUAAGGUUUUUUUGUCGAACAUGAACAUAAAAAUACUCAUUAAAUGCAGUAUUAAGUUGCCACUUUAAAUGCUUAGUUCAGGAAAUGCCAAAUUUAAGAUAACUCUCAACAUCAGUAACUCAUUCAUCUGACAUUUAUAGUCUACCUAAAGGUACCUCAUAAGGGAUCUCCUGUCUCUUAUCAGAAUUGUGGGGAGUUCCCUUCGUGGCUCAGCAGUUAACGAACCUAAGAUCCAUGAGGAUGUGGGUUCAAUCCUUGGCCUCGCUCAGUGGAUUAGGGAUUCAGUGUUGCCGUGAGCGGUGGUAUAUGUCUCCAGUGCGACCUUAAAAAACAAACAAAAAAAGAAUUGUGCUUUGAGAUCCUUGGGUCUUUGACUGGGAAGCUAAGCUGGGAGGGAGUAUUACCAUUGGUACCCUGAAUGAGGGGUUUAACUUUGUUUAUUUUAGUUGGGCUAUAAGAGCAUUUACUUGUUACUUCUCUGCUACUGAAAAUAUCCUCAAGCAUUUUUUAUUGGGCUGUCUUGAAUUGGCAACAAUUGUUACCUCUUCAGGGUAGAAGAGAGGGGAGCCAACUGUUGAAUACUUACCAUAUGCUGGAAAAUUUAUAUUUGUUCUUGCAUGUAAUAUUCAUAACAAAACUAUAAAGUGGAUGGUGGUACCUCUUAUUUUAUUUUAUUUUUUGCUUAUUAAGGCCUCACCUGAGGCAUAUGGAAGUUCCCAGGCUACGGGUUGAAUCAGCUGCAGCUGCUGGCCUACACCACAGCCACAGCAAUGCCAGAUCUGAGUUGUGCUCUGCUAUCUACACCACAGCUCAUGGCAACACUGUGUCUGUAACCCACUGAGUGAGGCCAGGGAUCUCAAAACUGCAUCCUCAUGGAUACUAGUCAGGCUCCUUACCGCUGAGCCAGCCACAGUAGGAACUUCGGUACCUUUCUUGUGAAGGACAAGACAACGUGAGGUAUCCCAGGUCUCUUAUCAGAAUCACGCCUUGGAGUUCCCGUCGUGGCGCAGUGGUUAACGAAUCUGACUAGGAGCCAUGAGGUUGCGGGUUCGGUCCCUGCCCUUGCUCAGUGGGUUAACGAUCCGGCGUUGCCGUGAGCUGUGGUGUAGGUCGCAGACGCGGCUCGGAUCCCGCGUUGCUGUGGCUCUGGCGUAGGCCAGUGGCUACAGCUCCGAUUGGACCCCUAGCCUGGGAACCUCCAUAUGCCGCGGAAACGGCCCAAAGAAAUAGCGAAAAGACAAAAAAAAUAAAAAUAAAAA
rnacentral:lncRNA from 1 species